rfam:Izhakiella sp. D4N98 NODE_15_length_109853_cov_109.36_ID_3509, whole genome shotgun sequence.
UUCUUUUGUAGCAAACAGAGGAUGAGAACCUCCGCAGGAGGUUUGAGCCGAGCGCAGCGAGACAACGUUGCUUCAGCAACGGCCCGCAGGGCGCUUCCCGCAGGGAUGCGUAAUCCUCUCUCGCCGACCA